rnacentral:rRNA from 1 species
GAGAGGAUGAUCAGCCACACUGGAACUGAGACACGGUCCAGACUCCUACGGGAGGCAGCAGUGGGGAAUAUUGCACAAUGGGCGCAAGCCUGAUGCAGCCAUGCCGCGUGUAUGAAGAAGGCCUUCGGGUUGUAAAGUACUUUCAGUCGUGAGGAAGGCGUUGUCGUUAAUAGCGGCAUCGUUUGACGUUAGCGACAGAAGAAGCACCGGCUAACUCCGUGCCAGCAGCCGCGGUAAUACGGAGGGUGCGAGCGUUAAUCGGAAUUACUGGGCGUAAAGCGCAUGCAGGUGG